GUCGGAGUGCAUGCUGGGAGUGAGUCGUCAAGCAGGAGUGAUUGUGAGAGCGAAUGGAAUUUCUUUUCACUCUAUUGGGUUUUGACACACUCACAAACAUACACACACACACACAUACACACACAGAGAAACACACACAAACACAAAGAGAAACACACACACACACACACACUGAUAUACUCACUCACACAUUCUUAGUUAACAUUUUCCAGAGAUGCCUGGCAUGUGCCAUUACCCACAAUGCACUUUGGGGGCCACCCUUCAGACUGCUGCCACAUCCCAGCGCUGCGGACUGUCAGACCGGGCUCUCCGCUGCUCCUUCAUACCACCAUUAAGACUCGCGUCUCUAUCCAGGCUGUCUCUCUGGAGAGGACGGGCCGCAGACACACACAGACAAAGGGGGAUGGCGAGGGCAAGUAUAAUGUCAAGAGUGGUUUCUUUAGAUAAGACAGGAUUGUGAAUAGUUUAACAUGGUGUGAUGCAUUAUCUAUAUCUGGCUCUGCCAUGUCCCUUUCCGUUUACCUUCUCUGUCUAUAUCCUCUUCACUUAGUGAGACCAGCCAGAGUCAUUAUGCCUGAUUAUAUUGAGGAGUGGACCCGUUUUGGAGAUAACCCUGUACAAACACUGCCUCUAUAAAUCUCCAGCUCCAGUCCAGUCAUACCAGUCUGCAACCAGGGGAUGACCUACUGUACAGCCUUCCACUCCACUCCUCCAGGGACACCUCACCUCAGAGGGGACACAUUAACUAAGGCUAGGGAUUCCACAACAUCCGCUGAAAAGGCAGAGCUCGAAAUUCAAAAAUGUUUUUUGAAAUAUUUAACUAUCAUACAUUCACAAGUGCAAUACACCUAAUUAAAGCUUAACUUCUUGUUAAUCUACGCAUCAUGUCCGAUUUCAAAAAGGCUUUACAGCGAAAGCACACCAUAUGAUUAUGUUAGGUCAGAGCCAAGUCAUAUUUAUAUCCAAAAAUCUCCGUUAACAUUGGCGCGUUAUGUUCAGUAACGUUGUGCCUCGAAAACAUCCGGCGAAUUUGCAGAGAGCCACAUCAAUUUACAGAAAUACUCAUCAUAAAUGUUGAUAAAAGAUACAAGUGUUAUGCAUGGAAUUUUAGAUCCACUUCUCCUUAAUGCAACCGCUGUGUCAGAUUUCAAAACGCUUUACGGAAAAAGCACACCAUGCAAUAAUCUGAGUACAGAGCUCAGAUACAAAAACAAGCCAUGUUGUGAAGUAAAAGUCAGAAAUAGUGUUGUAAAUAUUCACUUACCUUUGAUGAUCUUCAUCAGAAAUGUUUGCUUUGUUCGAUAAAGUCCAUCAUUUAUGUCCAAAUACCUCUCUUUUGUUAGCGCGUUUAGUUCAGAAAUCCAAACUCACGAGGCGCGGACAAGUCCAGGCGAAAGUUUAGACGAAAAGACCAAAAAGUUAUAUUACAGUUCGUAGAAACAUGUCAAACGAUGUAUAUACUCAAUCUUUAGGAUGUUUUUAUCAUAAAUCUUCAAUAAUGUUUCAACCGGACAAUUCCUUUGUCUUUAGAAAUGCAAUGGUACGCAGGUCGCUCUCACAGCCACGUGCGUGACCAGCUCAUGUCCUUCUGCCAGACACCUGAUUUAAACAGCUCUCAUUCUCUCCCCCUUCACAGUAGAAGCCUGAAACAAGGUUCUAUAGACUGUUGACAUAUAAUGGAAGCCUUAGGAAGUGCAAUGAGUUGAAAAACUAAAAACCUCAGAUUUCCCACUUCCAGGUUGGAUUUUUCUCAGGUUUUUGCCUGCCAUAUGAGUUCUGUUAUACUCAGACAUCAUUCAAACCGUUUUAGAAACUUCAGAGUGGUUUCUAUCCAAAUCUACUAAUAAUAUGCAUAUAUUAGCGUCUGGGCCUGAGUAGCAGGAAAUUUACUCCGGGCACGCUUUUCAUCCGAACGUCAAAAUGCUGCCCCCUAUCCCAAACAGGUUUUAAAGGUGCGUCUGGGCAUUCCUCCUCCUCUAUGGGUCUCAGAGUGGAGCUUCAAGGUGGCGUGAGGGCGUUGAAGUAAAGUCUGUGUAAAGUAGUGCAUCUAAACCACCUAGGAUAGGAUAAAGUAAUCCCUCUCACCCCCCCCCCCCCCUUAAAAGAUUUAGAUGCACUACUGUUCCACUGGAUGUCAUAAGGUGAAUGCACCAAUUUGUAAGUCGCUCUGGAUAAGAGCGUCUGCUAAAUGACUUAAAUGUAAAUGUAAAUGUGUAAAGUAAAGUCUGAGAGAGAGCGAGAGAGAGAAAGAAAGAGAGAGAGAGAAAGAAAGAAAGAGAGAGAGAUAGACAGACAGAGAGAGAGAGAGAGAGAGAGAGAGAGAGAGAGAGAGGGAGAGAGAGAGAGAGAGAGAGAAAGAAAGAGAGAGAGAGAGAGAGAGAGAGAGAGAGAGAGAGAGAGAGAGAGAGAGAGAGAGAGAGAGAGAGAGAGAGAGAGAGAGAAAAGAAAGAGAGAGA